rnacentral:rRNA from 1 species
CAGAAACUCAAAGGAAGUUGACGGGGGCCCGCACAAGCGGUGGAGCAUGUGGUUUAAUUCGAUGAUACGCGAGGAACCUUACCUGGGCUCAAAUGUAUGUUGACGUAUUUCUGAAAGGGAUACUUCUUCGGACAAUAUACAAGGUGCUGCAUGGUUGUCGUCAGCUCGUGCCGUGAGGUGUCGGGUUAAGUCCCAUAACGAGCGCAACCCCUAUCAUUAGUUGCCAUCAGGUCAAGCUGGGGACUCUAAUGAAACUGCCUACGCAAGUAGUGAGGAAGGUGGGGAUGACGUCAAAUCAGCACGGCCCUUACGUCCAGGGCUACACACGUGCUACAAUGGUCGGUACAAAGGGUUGCCAAGCCGCGAGGUGGAGCUAAUCCCAUAAAACCGAUCGUAGUCCGGAUCGCAGUCUGCAACUCGACUGCGUGAAGUCGGAAUCGCUAGUAAUCGUGAAUCAGAAUGUCACGGUGAAUACGUUCCCGGGCCUU